CCUACGGGGCGCAGCAGUGAGGAAUAUUGGUCAAUGGGCGAGAGCCUGAACCAGCCAAGUCGCGUGAGGGAGUACUGCCCUAUGGGUUGUAAACCUCUUUUGUCGGGGAGCAAAAGCCAGACGUGUCCGUCUGUGAGAGUACCCGAAGAAAAAGCAUCGGCUAACUCCGUGCCAGCAGCCGCGGUAAUACGGAGGAUGCGAGCGUUAUCCGGAUUUAUUGGGUUUAAAGGGUGCGUAGGCGGUCCGUUAAGUCAGCGGUAAAAUUGCGGGGCUCAACCCCGUCGAGCCGUUGAAACUGGCAGACU
rnacentral:rRNA from 1 species